ACACAUGCAGUCGAGGGGUANUUUAUCNUUCGGAUAGAGAGACCGGCGCACGGGUGCGUAACGCGUAUGCAAUCUACCUUUUACAGAGGGAUAGCCCAGAGAAAUUUGGAUUAAUACCUCAUAGUAUAUAGACUCGGCAUCNAGAUUAUAUUAAAGUCACAACGGUAAAAGAUGAGCAUGCGUCCCAUUAGCUAGUUGGUAAGGUAACGGCUUACCAAGGCUACGAUGGGUAGGGGUCCUGAGAGGGAGAUCCCCCACACUGGUACUGAGACACGGACCAGACUCCUACGGGAGGCAGCAGUGAGGAAUAUUGGACAAUGGGCGCAAGCCUGAUCCAGCCAUGCCGCGUGCAGGAUGACGGUCCUAUGGAUUGUAAACUGCUUUUAUACGAGAAGAAACACUACUUCGUGAAGUAGCUUGACGGUAUCGUAAGAAUAAGGAUCGGCUAACUCCGUGCCAGCAGCCGCGGUAAUACGGAGGAUCCAAGCGUUAUCCGGAAUCAUUGGGUUUAAAGGGUCCGUAGGCGGUUUAAUAAGUCAGUGGUGAAAGCCCAUCGCUCAACGGUGGAACGGCCAUUGAUACUGUUAGACUUGAAUUAUUAGGAAGUAACUAGAAUAUGUAGUGUAGCGGUGAAAUGCUUAGAGAUUACAUGGAAUACCAAUUGCGAAGGCAGGUUACUACUAAUUGAUUGACGCUGAUGGACGAAAGCGUGGGUAGCGAACAGGAUUAGAUACCCUGGUAGUCCACGCCGUAAACGAUGGAUACUAGCUGUUGGGAGCAAUCUCAG
rnacentral:rRNA from 1 species